rnacentral:rRNA from 1 species
AGAGUUUGAUCCUGGCUCAGGAUGAACGCUAGCGACAGGCUUAACACAUGCAAGUCGAGGGGCAGCACAGGUAGCAAUACCGGGUGGCGACCGGCGCACGGGUGAGUAACGCGUAUGCAACUUACCUAUCAGAGGGGGAUAACCCGGCGAAAGUCGGACUAAUACCGCAUGAAGCAGGGGCCCCGCAUGGGGAUAUUUGCUAAAGAUUCAUCGCUGAUAGAUAGGCAUGCGUUCCAUUAGGCAGUUGGCGGGGUAACGGCCCACCAAACCGACGAUGGAUAGGGGUUCUGAGAGGAAGGUCCCCCACAUUGGUACUGAGACACGGACCAAACUCCUACGGGAGGCAGCAGUGAGGAAUAUUGGUCAAUGGGCGUAAGCCUGAACCAGCCAAGUCGCGUGAGGGAUGAAGGUUCUAUGGAUCGUAAACCUCUUUUAUAAGGGAAUAAAGUGUGGGACGUGUCCUGUUUUGUAUGUACCUUAUGAAUAAGGAUCGGCUAACUCCGUGCCAGCAGCCGCGGU